UUCUGGCUCAGGAUGAACGCUAGCGGCAGGCUUAACACAUGCAAGUCGAGGGGCAUCGGGAGUAGCAAUACUGCCGGCGACCGGCGCAAGGGUGCGUAACGCGUGAGCAACAUGCCCGUAUCAGGGGGAUAAUCCAUGGAAACGUGGUCUAAUACCCCAUAGUAAUUAUGUAAGGCAUCUUAUAUAAUUUAAAGCUUUGGUGGAUACGGAUUGGCUCGCGUGACAUUAGCUAGAUGGUAAGGUAACGGCUUACCAUGGCUACGAUGUCUAGGGGUUCUGAGAGGAAGGUCCCCCACACUGGUACUGAGACACGGACCAGACUCCUACGGGAGGCAGCAGUGAGGAAUAUUGGUCAAUGGACGCAAGUCUGAACCAGCCCAAGUCGCGUGAAGGAAGAAUGUCCUAUGGAUUGUAAACUUCUUUUGAAGGGGAAUAAAGUACGGUACGUGUACCGUUUUGUAUGUACCCUUCGAAUAAGGAUCGGCUAACUCCGUGCCAGCCGCCGC
rnacentral:rRNA from 1 species